CUAUGCCAAUUAUCGUUACGCGCGUCGCUUAGGCGGGAGUGGACUUCGCGUUGUAGACGACGCAUCCGAAUCCGGUUUGAAUGCGUGGGAAGACGAUCGUAGGCCCGGA